CAGUCGCCGCGGUAAUACGGAGGGGGCUAGCGUUGUUCGGAAUUACUGGGCGUAAAGCGCACGUAGGCGGCUUGGUAAGUUAGAGGUGAAAGCCUGGAGCUCAACUCCAGAAUUGCCUUUAAGACUGCCGAGCUAGCAGGUGAGAGAGGUAAGUGGAAUUCCGAGUGUAGAGGUGAAAUUCGUAGAUAUUCGGAAGAACACCAGUGGCGAAGGCGGCUUACUGGCUCAUACUGGACGCUGAGGUGCGAAAGCGCGGGGAGCAAACAGGAUUAGAUACCCCCGUAGUCCCUGUCUCUUAUAC
rnacentral:rRNA from 1 species